rnacentral:misc_RNA from 1 species
AGAGAGAGAGAGAGAGAGGGGAAGGGGGGUUGUGUGGUGGGGUGGGGGAAGAUAAAGAAAGAAAGAAGAGAAGGUGCUGUUCCAUCCACAAUAUAGACCCAAAGUUUCGGCUUUCCUACCAUCAUAUCCAUGCCCCAUCCUACCAAGAAACAGGAAGGAAGAAACCAAAAAGCAAAGAAACAGGAAGGAAGAAACCAAAAAGCAAAGAAACAGGAAGGAAGAAACCAAAAAGCA